GGCUCAGGAUGAACGCUGGCGGCGUGCCUAACACAUGCAAGUCGAACGGGGUAGCAAUACCCAGUGGCGGACGGGUGAGUAACGCGUGAGAAUCUGUCCACGGGACGGGGACAACGGUUGGAAACGACCGCUAAUACCCGAUGUGCCGAGAGGUGAAACUUAUAUGGCCCGUGGGGGAGCUCGCGUCCGAUUAGCUUGGCGGUGUAAGGGACCACCAAGGCGACGAUCGGUAGCUGGUCUGAGAGGAUGAGCAGCCACACUGGGACUGAGACACGGCCCAGACUCCUACGGGAGGCAGCAGUGGGGAAUUUUCCGCAAUGGGCGAAAGCCUGACGGAGCAACGCCGCGUGAGGGAGGAAGGUCCUUGGAUUGUAAACCUCUUUUCUCGAGGAAGAAGUCAGUGACGGUACUCGAGGAAUCAGCCUCGGCUAACUCCGUGCCAGCAGCCGCGGUAAUACGGGGGAGGCAAGCGUUAUCCGGAAUUAUUGGGCGUAAAGCGUCCGCAGGUGGUCUAUCAAGUCUGCCGUCAAAGCGCGCGGCUUAACCGCGUACCGGCGGUGGAAACUGGAAGACUAGAGAGCAGUAGGGGUAGCGGGAAUUCCCAGUGUAACGGUGAAAUGCGUAGAGAUUGGGAAGAACAUCGGUGGCGAAAGCGCGCUACUGGGCUGUAUCUGACACUCAGGGACGAAAGCUAGGGUAGCGAAAGGGAUUAGAUACCCCUGUAGUCCUAGCCGUAAACGAUGGAUACUAGGCGUGGCUUGUAUCGACCCGAGCCGUGCCGAAGCUAACGCGUUAAGUAUCCCGCCUGGGGAGUACGCGCGCAAGCGUGA
rnacentral:rRNA from 1 species